rnacentral:rRNA from 1 species
GACGAACGCUGGCGGCGUGCCUAAUACAUGCAAGUAGAACGCUGAAGAGAGGAGCUUGCUCUUCUUGGAUGAGUUGCGAACGGGUGAGUAACGCGUAGGUAACCUGCCUUGUAGCGGGGGAUAACUAUUGGAAACGAUAGCUAAUACCGCAUAACAAUGGAUGACACAUGUCAUUUAUUUGAAAGGGGCAAUUGCUCCACUACAAGAUGGACCUGCGUUGUAUUAGCUAGUAGGUGAGGGAAUGGCUUACCUAGGCGACGAUACAUAGCCGACCUGAGAGGGGGGUCGGCCCAACUGGGACCGAGACCCGGCCCAGGCUCCUACGGGAGGCAGCAGUAGGGAAUCUUCGGCAAUGGGGGCAAACCUGACCGGGCAACGCCGCGUGGGUGAAGAAGGUUUUCGGAUCGUAAAGCUCUGUUGUAAGUCAAGAACGGGUGUGAGAGUGGAAAGUUCACACUGUGACGGUAGCUUACCAGAAAGGGACGGCUAACUACGUG